rnacentral:rRNA from 1 species
GAUGAACGCUGUCGGCGUGCCUAAUACAUGCAAGUAGAACGCUGAAGGAGGAGCUUGCUCUUCUGGAUGAGUUGCGAACGUGUGAGUAACGCGUAGGUAACCUGCCUGGUAGCGGGGGAUAACUAUUGGAAACGAUAGCUAAUACCGCAUGACAACAGUUAUUGCAUGAUAACUGUUUAAAAGGGGCAACUGCUCCACUACCAGAUGGACCUGCGUUGUAUUAGCUAGUUGGUGAGGUAACGGCUCACCAAGGCGACGAUACAUAGCCGACCUGAGAGGGUGAUCGGCCACACUGGGACUGAGACACGGCCCAGACUCCUACGGGAGGCAGCAGUAGGGAAUCUUCGGCAAUGGACGGAAGUCUGACCGAGCAACGCCGCGUGAGUGAAGAAGGUUUUCGGAUCGUAAAGCUCUGUUGUAAGAGAAGAACGAGUGUGAGAGUGGAAAGUUCACACUGUGACGGUAGCUUACCAGAAAGGGACGGCUAACUACGUG